CACACGUACAGGCGCGUGUCUGCACACCCGCUUCCUCAUCCAGCAUCGUGGCAACAGACCCAAGCAAACGGGAGACGAAGCGGAGGGCACCCGCUGCGGUGAACCCCACCGCCUUCGACAGCUGCAGGGCACCACCGCCCGCUGGCUCCCGCGUGCGGCUCUCUCGGCGUGCGCGCGGCUGUGAGCCCGCCCUCGCCGAUAACUCUAACCACGGCGACAUCUCGCUGUUCCCUCGUUUCUUUUUUUUUUCUAAUCAUCUUCAUCUGGCUGCCCGCCACGGUGAAUGGUGAGACGCCUCGCAGAUCGACUCACGCGACUUGCUCAACGCGGGGAGCGGCGUCUCCGCCUCGACCUCCCCCGGCGUGUCGCCACCGGCAAGGGCAACGCGUCAUGGACCGCCGCUGCCGCGCGCCUCGUGCUGGGCGAGCCGUUGCUGUUUUUGCAGUGCGUCUCGCAGCCAUGCGCUCACCAGAGACGGCAUGCGACGGAGGUGCUGCUUCUGUGCAAUGAGGCGCUGCGCGUCGCUUUCAUGGCUGCAGCUACACCGUCGCUGCCCUUUCCCAUCACUGCAGGCGCAGGAAGCCAGCUAUCCUCACCAGCCGAUGCUUCCCCGGCCAAGAAAGCUGCGCGCGAGUGGCAGUGUGUCGUGGCGCGCUUGCUGGAGACACGUGCCACCCGAAACACCAUCGACAGUGGUGAUGUGCGACGAGCACUGCGUCCCCUUUCCGCUACAGCCGCGCAGCCCGGAGCGCACCUGGCCUGCACAAAUUCGCAUGAUGCAGUCGCAACGGCCAUCACACAUGUGCGCGCAGGGGCCGGGCCGCUCGGGAUCGCCGUUGAACCGUCGCCGGUCGAGAGGGCUCGCCGGAGAGCAGCGACGGCAGAGCGGCAGCAGAGAGGAGGUUUUAGCCGCAUGCAUGCCGGCACGCGUGGACCAUUGGCAGGGCAUGCGCUCAGGGUUUACCGCACCGGAUCGCGUACCCCAACAUGGUCACACAGAACGACCUAUGCGACUCAUGCGGGCAGCACUCGCGCCGCAGCAUCGACGUUCUUGUCCUCCUUUGUGGAUUGGGAGGAGCAGCGCACAUCACGCGGUCGCGAGUCGCUGUCCUCUCUUGGGCCCUCGUCGUGGCCACAGCAGCCUCGCGUGACACGGCGACUCGCUGCUGCGUGGCAGCGCGCGUGUGCUGAAUCGUACCGGCACGCUCUCGUGGGGCGUCCCACGAACACUGCUCGCCGGAGCUCGAGGUGCACGUGGACCUUCGCAGCGGAAGAAGAGCUGCGAGCGCACUUUCAGCGAGCCCUGCGCUGGCGAUCGGAUACCGCAGCGCCGGCCGCGGGGGACGAAGAGCUGAUGACAGGAGUGGAGCUGCGGUCGAUGGCGGCGUUCGUUGUGGACACGUACGUGUCUCUGCACAAAAAGCCGGAAAGCGGUUGCCGCCCAGGUGCUGCACUCAUGCUAGCAACGCGUGAUUUAUGGGGCUCAUCGGAGCUGCAGUGGCAGGUGCUUGUGCUCCGCGUGCUCGCUGAUGAGGUCUGUGCUGCGCUCGGUGACAGUGCUGCCUGCUCUAUGCGCGCGUCGCAUUGGGUGAGUGGGGCUACCGAGUUUUCUGUUGUCUACGAGUGCAUCAUUGUCGUGGCGGCUGCCCACCUGUGCGUGCUGAGGCAUGGGCGUUAUCCGAGAGAUGUGGCUGGUGUCGCUGGCGCCGACACAAGGCACGGCGAGGCGGACGCGUGGGAGGCGACUGCGGUAGCGCCACACAGUGCCCAUGUCGUGCGCGCAACGCGUCGCCUUGCGGAAGGUGUGCUGGCCUUGUGCACAAGGCAGGAUGAAGGGGCUAUCUUGUCGCCAACACGCACGGACGCCAGUGACGUGUGUUCACUUGACAGCUGGCUUGGCGGGCAGCUCUGCUGCCUCGCUGAGACCUCGUUUCGCUCGUUGUACUCAGUACGAGGGCACAGGGAUCAUCGCGCAGCCUUGCCGGAGCCUUCCCUGCUGCUUCUUCGCCUGCUCGUGCAGAGCGCUUCGUGGCAUGGUCACUGUGCAGCCGCUGAUGUGAAUGGUGCCCAGCACCUACGCCACGUGUGUGCCGCCGUGCUGCUGAUCGAGCGUGUCUUGGAGCGCGCCUCUGAGGAUAGGCUGGCGCCCUGCGUAGACGAAGUCCGCGCCGCCCUGUGGCUGCCGCGGCGCUUCGCUUGCGACGAUGAAGGAGUGGACGACGCAGUGCGGCAGCGCACACCGACACCACGACAGCGAGCGUGGGCCCACUCUCGUUCCUCUUACAAAGACGCUCGCCUAGACGGUGGCACCGCCGCACUGGCGGCCGCCACCGGCCGAUUCGUCUGCCAGGUGCUUGACGGCAGCCCGCCGUCGAUUUCACGCCUGCUGCUGCUGCCCGGGAACGCACCUCAACUUCUCCGCUCGACGACAGGCGGCCCCGCGACGCCGCUAGAUCGGGAGAUGCUUGCCGAGGAUGUGGUGCUGCUCGCUCCAGGGAUGGCCCUCAGCGCCGCGUGGCGGCUGCGUCACGCUUGCGCUGAGGGCCCCCUGCUCUGCACGUCACCCACGGCGAGCGCACCGGCACUCGAGCACACCAAUGCUACGGAUGCCGCCGGUGCCCGUCGCGGCGCUGCCUCCAAAUGCUCGGGGGUAGGUGACCCGGAUUCCGCGGAGCACGGCCCACUCCUGCAACGACGCGAUACCCUGGAGCAGGUGUGGAGCCGAUUGUGCCCCUCUUCCACCUGCACAGCCGCCGCCUUGCUGCCCGCGUGGUGGCAAGUGUUGUCAAGUCGAUUCUUCUCCUCCAUCCUUUCCCAGCUAGAUCCGCCAGAGAUCGCGAGAAUGGCAGAGGCGAUGGUGGGGACGCUGAGUCGACUACCGCCGUUGCUGUCGGCAGUCCAUCACGAGGAUCGCGCGAGAGCUCGCCGAAGUGCGGGCGCAGCGCGUCUCAAGGCAAAGACCGAAAUGCGUGGAGGAGCCGGAGAGGGCGCUGGGGUCGCGCAGCCUCGAUCAGCGGUGCUGGCGCUCCAGUGCACGCUCGCGUCGGCUCCAACGGAUGCUGCCCGCGCAGAGGCGUCGCAGGCGCUGCUCUCGCGCCUCUGCACGGCACUGGCGGCGAGCGCACGAUCAGGGGAAGAAGACAAUGCCGACCUUACAAUGGAGAGGGUGCAUGGCGCUGGUGUGUGUCUCGCCGUCUUGCUUGCAUGCGCCUCGACUUCGCUUCGUGACCAGGCGGCGGCCACACACGAUUUCCUGGCAGCGGUCGCGUCCCUGGUGGACAGCCGAGGUCAUCCACAGCACCGUAGGCGAGAAAGCAACGACGUGUAUUCAGCGCUGCGUAGCUGGUGUUCGGGGGCGAUGGGCAGCAUCAUGCUUGCACGACACGCGCAGCUUGCUCGGGAGGCACCUCGGUGCGAAGUGUCCGCGUCGACGGAGCACGGUAGCGGUGAGGCGCCGCGGCGCAACCCGCUUGUGUCCCUGUCGCCAGCGGCGCAACUCGCGCUGUGGUGGGAGGAGCAGUCCAGCCUGCAGGCCGACCCAGCGGCUCCGCUGUCACGCCUUCGGGAUUCCUGCUACUGGACAGGGAUGCGAAUCAUGCGGCUCUGCAACACCGUUGCCCACCUCGCCGCCACGUCGACGACGGCCUCCAGCGCAUUGUCGUCGCCACAGCCGCCGUUUUUGCCGGCACCGUCCACGAGGGAUGCAGAGGCGGCGAGGGUGGCGUGCACUGCAGUCUACGACAUGUUGAGUCUGGAGCACGUGUGCCAUCUCGCAAUUGCCUCUGCCGCCCUCCCGGGCCCCGGGGAGGCGCGUGAAGCCUGGAAUGCGGUCGCGGGGCCCUUUGCCGCCGCCGUGCCGCCAACUCACGCGGCACAUUCAUCGUGUGCUUGCGCACUGGCAACUGCCGACGCGGGCGUCGCGCUCUUCAAGGGUGACCUCAGCUCCGGCGAUAGGGUUACAAACAUCUUCACGCACGCGAUGACGGCAGCGAGGGAGGCUGGAGACAGUGCGAUGAACGUCCUGCAGCACCGCCAGGGACGCCUCCUCAACGACCGGCAGCACGAGAGCCUUGUGGAAGCGAUGCGUGACUUCUCGAAGCGACGCUGCGUGAAAGAGGCGGUCGCGUUGUUCUACGCGCACGAGCGCCAGUCCCGACGCCUGCGGCUGGCGGAGGUGGAGCUGUUUGCAGAGACGGCGAAGCGGGCGCCGUUGCCGUUUCUCGUACGCUUGUUGCUCUACCUACCGCCACCGUGCGAGAGUGCGGUGCUGGCCAGGGCCAUCAUCGCCGGCGCGUGGAAGGCAUACCAGCGUGCGCUGCACCUGCACAGCAGACGCUUGGCGGCAGCAGCAGCGGAGAGGCGGCGCGGCAGCCAGCGCGAAAACGCGCCUCUUGCAUCAAGUAUUCACCGGCAGUCGUGCCGACGCGUGGAGCAGGCGUGGUACGAGAGCCUGGCGGUGGCACGCCGUGCGUUGGCGCUUCUCCCCAGUGCCGGCGGCACGGAUGGGUGUGACGAGGAGGCGCAGCGCCAUGCGCUCGCGGUUCUCCAGCGGUUUUUAUGCGCGCGUCCGCACUCGAUGCAGACCGGUGCGUCGCCGGGGCGCAUGCCGUCGUCUUCCACGGGCGUUACUGUCUUCGCUGACGAGUGGGACAGCGACGCCGUGCAGAGCGCUCAGCUGCUGGCGGCGCUAAUGCCGUCGCCGUCGUCGUCGUCAUCGUCCAGGUCACGGCAGAGGCUUCACGUGCGGCGCGGUGCGCCGGCGCGCGAAUCCGCGGAGGCGCUUUGCCGGCUAAUCCAAUUCUGCGGCGCCACCAACGACCCGGCCACCGCCGUGCGGGCGUACCUGCGGUUCGCGAACGCGCAUGCCGCAUCGGCGCCCCCCUCGCGUCUGUCAUGUGCGCCAGCGCAGGAUGCACGGAAGCGGAGUAGACCGACGGUCGAGGCGAACGAUGGCCGGGUAGUGCCGCUGCUGCCACUGGACACGUGCGUCACGCUUCUGCGCUUGGCGAGCAUGCACGUGGUGGCUGCGUGCGAUGAGGACGCGGCCACCUACGGUGUUCCAGGCACGACAUCGUCGUCAACGCGGGUGCCGCUAACCGCUCUUGUGACGUACGUGGAGACCCGUCACGUGCCGUCGGAGGUAUCGUCACCUGAAACGCCAACGGGCUCCGAGGAGCCACGCGGCGGCGCCAUGCUGAUGCCGGAUUCUUUGGAAAGGAAUGCUGCUGCCGAAGAUGCGGAGAUGACGAUGCUCCUAAGCAUGCGCACCGCCUUGAAGGAGAGUGCCGCUGCACCAUCCGACAUUGUUGUUGAGGCCGCUACCGCAGGUGCCGGCUCGACGAGCAAGCCAGUCGGCGAUGCGAUGCUGGGGGACAGCGGAUACCACGCCCACGCCAAGGGCGCGCCUGGUUCCGCGGUCAGUGCAGCUGCGGCUGCCACGUCUCGCGCGAUGACGUACGCCACGAACUGCAUAGCGGCGGUGCAGCGACUCUCGCCGACGCUGCCGGCCUCACUGCGGUGUGUCCUGCACUCCGACAGCGCCGCCAUUCCCUUGACGGCAGUGCUGCAUGACGCGCUGCGCUGGUGCCGACUGCGACCGCAAUCGGUGCUUGCUCGCGAGGGCGCCGCUACAGCUGUGGACGGACUCGAUGCCGCGGCGCUACACUCGCUGGCCGACCGCGCAGACAGCGACGACCCCGCCACGGCCGACGUUGUAGCGCGGCUGCUUGCCGCGGUGUUUCAGUUGGACAGUGCAGAGAUGGCUGAGAUGGUCGAUGCUGCUCACCCUCGCCCCGUGCACGCUCUUGUCGGGGCUGCAGCCGCGGCUGUGACGGCCGCCGGCGUCGCCCCUGCCAUGGUGGAUGUGGCCGAGGGAGACGCGACUUCAUCGAUGGUGGUGACGCGUCACACCUUCGCGUGCCGCGCCGCGCGCGCGAACCAAGACUUCUGGCGCCUCGUGCGGCACAGCGACGCCUUGCUGGGCUACGUCUGGGACUACGUGUGGGAGCUGUACCGACUGGAGGCGACGGUGCUGUGGGUGUCGCCGGCGCAGCAGCAACGCGCUUACCUGGCCGUUGCCGAGUGCGCGCAGGUGAUCUUGGCCGCACUGCAGGCGCUAGAUGUGUGGGCGGCGGAGAUGCGCGCGCACGAGGCGCGCGAGCGAGGCAGCAGCGACAGCGACGGCGACUACCAAGCCCAUGAGCAGGCCCCUCUCACAGGCGGCCGAAGCCGUGUGUCUAUGGCAGCCUCGAGCGAGUGGAGACUGGGAAGCUCCGUGGACGAGUGGCGAGUCCAGCUGCGAAGUGGGAUACUUCAGCGAUUGCAUGCGCGCCUCUUCGAUGAAGGCGACCUGCCCGAUGCCACGAGCGGCCAUCGUGGCGAAACAGCAUCGGCGAUGCUCCCAUGUAGCCUCACGUCUUUUGGGAUGACGGACACCACCGCAGCCGCGAUCGCGUACAUGACGACCGUAAUGCAGCACAGCAGCACAGCUUUCGAGACUUGUGCCCCUACGAACGCUCUGAUGCAGCUGGCAGCCGACCCGAUCGCCGCUACAUCGCCAGCGCCGUCAGACGAAUCCCUCAGCGGAAGUGUGAUGAGGACAGAAGGCGCGACCUCCGCACAAGAGGUGCGUGAGCUGCUGUCGCGAACCACGCAGCAGUACUACGACGCACUCAGCCGACUCGUGAGCCCCUCGCUUCCGGUCAGCGGUGGUGCAGGGCCGCUGCGGCCCGUGUACCUCAGCCGUCUUGCAACGGACAGCCUCUCCUACGUCCUCCGGUGUGUGACCGCCACUGCUGCAGCCGCACCGCCACGUCGCCCACACACCAUCGGCACCCUUGCGACAUCAGAAGCUGGUGGCACCGCGGCCCUGCUCUUGCGGGUGGCGGCAGCUGAAGGCAUGCUGCGACACGUAGCAUCGCUCGUGCAGCACGCAUCGGUGCUCAUGGAGGCGACGGACGCCGCACCGCGCACCGCCAAUGUCGAACUCCCGCGCACUCUUUGGUGCCUGUCAGGUGCCCUUCACUACGCUGCGGCACUGCUGGAUGAGUGCAUGGCUUGGUGGACGCUUCUUGACCUCGAGGCCGCUGCCGCCGCCGCCCCGACGAGCGAGCUACGAGGUGCCAGCGACGCAUCUAGCUGCGACAUCGGGAGUGUCUUCCCUUCUGUGAACGGGUCACUGGUGGCGAGGAGUGCGCUGACGCACGUCCGCGCACAACUGCAACGGCUCGUAGCAUCGUUUGCGGAUCUCUACGUCUCUGGUUGGUACGGCAGCGUCCAUGCGCGGCUGCCAGAGGUCACUCGCGCGCGGCUGUGGGGUCGCGGCGAGUCGCGUGCGCAACAUCUGCGCGUAUGCUUGGUCUUGCAGCACCUCGCCAGUGUCUCUGGUGAUGCCGCGGUGCCCGCGCGGCUGGCGAGGGCGGCGGAAGCGCUGCAGCAGGCUCUCGCCCGUUACCCGUCCUCCUCGGCUGCCUGCACGGAGUCGAAAGACGCGCGUGCACUGCAGCAGUCGGGUUUUAUGGACUUGGACGAACUCGUCGAUGGCGAGCACCACGAUGUCACAGAAUCGGUGGACUGCACGGCGGCGGCGACAGUGCGAAUGCUGGAGCGCACGCUGCUCGCGUACCUUACUCGGAGCACGCAGCCCGACGGUGUGUUGGUGAUCGCACCCGGUCACAUGACGGCGGUGUCGAUCACUGCGUUGGAGGCUUCCUUUCAGCGAGCCGUGAUGGCAUGCCUUUCGCCGUCGCACGCGGCGCUGCUCUGGCGCUUGUUUACAGCUCUCCUCGAUGAUGGAUGUUACCCCUCUGUCGCUGUCGAGGACACACCACAUGAGGGGAGCCAUGAUGUGCCUCUUCCGAUGCGGUGCGAGCGUGACGCUGCCGCCGAGGGGUCAUUGGGUGUAAUGUGUGCCGUGCCAACGACACUCUGGCGGCAGCUGCGGCGUUUGGGCGAGGAAAGCGAAUCCGAGGCGGCCAGUGACGUGCUUCGCUCAAGUGGUGCUCGUACGGAGGCACCUGCGCUGCACAGCGAGCGCCUUGCCCUGUACGCGGCCCUCCUCUCCCGCCAUCCGCUGGUGAUCAUGGGUGUGGUAAGGCACCCUCUCGUGCGACACCAUCAGCUGGCAGAGGCGCGUCGAGAGCAGUGGCCGCCGGUGCAGGUCGGCGCCAGCAGCGGUCGUGUUGCCGGCACUUCGCAAGCACCGUCGUGCGAGUGGCUCAAGAAGCUGCUAUUAUACGGUGCAGAGGACGACUCGGUAGCGGAGGCGAGAGCGGCAGCGAGCGAUGACGCAGGGGAGUCCGCCUUGUCCAGCGCAUGGACGGCCGCAGACCGCACCCUCAGUGGCGGUGGUGGUGGUGGACUUCUGCGCACCUCCUCGGCAGGAGCUCUGGCGUUGCUGCCUGCACAGCCACUGCGGGAGCGAUUUGUGUCGGCGCUUAUUCUUGCCGUGCUGCGUGAUGCAUCACUCAUGUGUGACGGUCCGUCUUGCGCUCCCAUCGCCUUCGUGUCCUCGUCAGUCGCGGCGGCGAUGGCAGCGCAGAGGCGGGAGUGCAUGCUGCUGGAGCUGGUGCAGCAUCUCGGCUACGUCGCCCCACAUGCGGUGCGCACGGCGUUUCGUUGGGUUACCUGCACACCGUACCCGCUCACCGCGUGCGCACCGGCGUCCUCCUUUCCUGCAGACGCUUCGCCGCCGGCCCGGCUAAAGUGCAGCGCGCUGAGCUGCACGGAUGCCACGACGCUUCGCCGGCUGCGGGUUGCACUGCUCUCGUGUGGCCCGUGGCCGACGACUGUGGCGCGAACGCUCCUCGAGUACGCGACGCGCGUGCAGCGCGCAGCCACACAGGAGACGGCGCCGCAGGCGCACGCUGGCGACGGUCAGACGCCCACGAUGCCGUUCCCCGAGGCGCUCGAGCUCUACCAACGACAGCAGCAGCAGCCAGAGAGCAAGCGACACGAUAUGGCUGAGGCACCACAGGCGCUGAUGGCCACCGCGCAACACCGGGUCGACGCUAUGCGAGGCGUGCGACACCCACUCCUGCUACGCGUUCUCCAGCACUAUGCCGAUCAGGAAAAGGACAGCGCGCGACGCGAGCGACACCGUAACGGGAGCGGCUCCGCUGCCCCGUGUGGUCGAGGCGCUUCUUCUUCGCCACCUGUGCUGAGUUCAACCAGUGACACGGUGCCAACGGUGCACGCACGAGGAGGCCGCUUCGCUGUCGGGCUGUCACGGCGGCUGCCUCCCGCCCCCGCCGCGCCGUGCUCUUCAGUCGGCAGCACCCGCUAUGGGCAUAGCACCGGUGCAGGGGCGCCGCUGUCUGCGAUCCAGCUCGCCUGCGAAGAAGGUGCGCGCCUGGUGAAUGCGCUCCGCACGUCUACGGCGCCGGCUGUGGGGGAUGCCGCAGCGCGCAUCGCGCUGCGCAUGCGCGACCUCGCCAUGGCGCCGUCCCACCCCGCCUGCGUCGACCUUCUCAGCGAUGCCACGUUUGCGACGGACGUGAUGGCGCUGCCCACGAAGCGCGUGGCGGCUACCGUGAUGCUCGCCUGGCGAACGCUUCUUGUACGCGCUGCAGAGCUGGACUGCCGGGAGCAGCAUUGGGACAGUGCUGGCGGUGACGACGGAGCCGUUGCCGCUGAGGUGCACAACCGAACACGAAACCUGUCGCUACGAGAAGCCGGCUCCAGAGACCGGAGCUGCAUGACGGUGCUGGAUGUGUACGCGAUGUUCUUCCUCGUAGCCUCUCGCACGUGUGAUCGGCUCACCGCUAUUACGCCACCGCUUCCACAGGCGAAGGGGCGACAGUGGCUGGUGAGUGGGCAGCGCCAGUUGGGCUCUUUGAAGCGGGAACUGGCGGCGUAUUGGGUCGCGGUGCUGGCGGACGAGGUGAUGGCGUCGCAGCCUGUGUUCCGGUGCAGCGCCACAAGCGAGGCAGAGGCGAUUCGCGUUCGCAUCGACGCGUACUGUCGCAGCAGCGGAGACGGAGGCGCCACGCACUCCCCCGCGUUGGGCCUCGUGACCCUCGAGGAGCACCUGCGUCGCGCUCAGGCACGCUUGCAGGCGGUGGCGCAGGAACCUUCGACGUUCUCCUCGUUCCCACGAACCUCGUAUUCGCCAAUAGCGGCAGACGACAAGGCUGCAGCGGAGCUCUCGCUUUUGCAGAAGGAGGCCGGUGCGCAGCUGCGCGAUGCAGGCGCACGGCUGACCUCGUUUCCUCGCUCCGUCACCGCAGAGGUAUCGCUGAGGCUGGCAAAGGAGGACGCGCGCGCGUCACCGGAGCUGGCGUGGUCGUUGUGGCCACCUGCCGCCUUGGAGACAUACCGACUACGCGCGUGUAUGCGCAAGAGCUCCGACGAGAACACCCUUGUCACCGUCACGGUCUGCAAUCCAGUCUCGGUGGUCACGUACCUGUGUGCGUGGAGGAGAGAGCAGGUGUCGGCGCCGCAGAAAAGGCGACCAGGCGCGCGCGCAGCACGCCAUCAGGAGAGCGCCAGGACAACCACCGUCAGGCCGUACGCCGUGAGGGGUGCGGCGUGCGUGCUGCUACCGGCGGUGUGCCUGCCGUCCUCUUCUGCGGUGCACGGCAGCAGGCAACCUGGAACCUCGAGGAGACGUGCGCGAUGGGCAUCGCAGAGUACUGCCGUAUCGUUGGCGGAUGUGUGGCGUGCCGCGGACGCGUUUGUUCGACGUGGACGCCUCGUCCUGGCGUGUAUACCACGUGACGGUCACGGCGGGGCAUCCGGAUGCGGCCCAGCGCGCGGCAGUGCUGGUGACGCCGUCGAAACGGAUUCUUUGGAGGAUGAAGUCGACAGCACGGCUGCCGGGACCAGCCCGGCUGGCGCAGGAGUGGUGAUGCAGGCGCUCUUGGACCUGGUGUCGCUUGAGGACGCGCGCCUUCAACAGGAGCAGCAGCAGUCGAGGCGGCAGCACGCAGGCUUCCCCUCUCAGACCGCGAUCAGCGGUGACACGCUCCAGCUGCUUUCCGUGCUCCGUCAACUGCGCCAGCGCCUGCUUUCUCUUGCUCCUGCUGCCGCUGCCACGGCGUCCGGAGCGCAUGGCACGGAGGGGGCCGUAACAACCGUGGCCGCGGAAGACAAGGGCGGCCCGACACCCGCUGCGUCACCGUGGGCCGCCUUCAUGCCUCUUUCCUGCGUAUGCGGCCCGAGCACGCCGCCCGCUCGACGUGGGGGCGAACUAGGCGCUGAUGGCAUCGCCUGGCACUCGUACCUCCACGUGCUUCACCUGUGCGGCGACGGUCUGCUGUGCCGGGUCGCACAGCGUCGUGGGCGUCGUGCCUCGUCGUCGGCCGUUGCCCUGACGCGCGUCACUCAUCAGCUGCAGCGGCUGGCGUCCCUGUCCGCCCUUGAGGAGCAGGUGACGCACUCGUCGGUGUCGUCUGCGUUGCGGUCGCGCCUCUUGAAUGGCCAGGAUGCACAGCGCAUCAUCUGCUUCCAGUUGCGCGGUCUGCAGCGCAUUCGUGAUCACGUAAGCGUGCUAGGAUGGACCGUGGAGCAGCAUAGGGAGCUGCAGCUGGCGCAGCAGAGCAUCGUGUCAACGGUGGCGGCGAUCUGUGCGCUGCAGCGCCGCUGGCAUCACGGACAACAGUGUCCCCAGAGAGAAGAUGCGUGGGAUGUGGCCACGGCACGCAUCAGGCUCUCGACAAGGGUGCGAAGGCAAGUGACGGCAGAAAUGCAUGAGGGGCAUGUCCAUCCUGUCGAGCAGGCAACCGCGGUAUGCUUCUACCCUGCUCUUGCACACCUGUUGCGACAGCUCUCUGUGACAUAUCCGCCUAGUGCUGUUCCUGCCGCAUCUGCGCAGGAGCCGUCCUCAUCGCGACAGCGUUCUCCUGUUGAGGAUCGCGUACCACGCGCUGACGACGCCGCGACGGGGGUGGUGACGGCGUUUGCGAGUGUCGUCGCUGCCUCGGCGCGUCGCCGGCACCGCCCCCUCCAUGCCCGGGCACCGCAGACGACAGCAGCCACGACGACGGCGGAGAGCGACAACGCGGCUGCGGCUCUGCUGACCACUGUAUAUGGAGCCCUCUGUGAGGCACACGAGCAGCAGCGGAGCGGGUCAACCGAUCGCCGUCAAAACACCGGGGGUGGUCACACCUCCACCACACCGGCACUGGCACCCGUAGACUCGUGCGGCGAGCUGCAUGCGCUUCUCUCUGCUGUCGUCGCUGCCGUUCAACGGCGCUCGCGCGACGCAGACCCGUGGCUGCUACUGGAGUUUCUCAGCGGCAAUGAACGCGAAGCACUGCUCCCGCUCGCUGCGGCUGCCGAGGCGUCCUACCUGGAGACGCUCAUGAGGGCCGUGGCGCUUGGCGCGUCCGCGCCCUCGCACGACGAGGAUUCGCACCGCGUAGUGGAGGCGGGGCUGACGCUGUACGCGCUCCUGCACCCGUGGCUGCCCCUCUCGGGCGCGGCGUGGGAGACGUGUGCGAUGGAGGCGGCGCUGAGCCUCGUCACGCUCGCCCUACCGCAGCGCGACCGCCUCGACGACAAGAGAGGCGCUGGAGCCACCGUCAGGUCGUCCGCGACGUCCCUCUGGUAUCUCGUGCAGGUUGUACUCGUCAGCAUUCUGCAUCGUCAGCAGUCGGCGCGGCUGUCGGUGCGCAGUAUCGUGCUCCUCGGCGUCAUCUAUAGCCAGCUGCGGAACUUGGAAGGAGUAAGGGGCGGGGUACUCGGCACUGAGCGCAGCCGGCGCAGCUCUCGCACAGCGCCGCAGGCGGAUGCAAACGUGCUGCUGUGGCGAAUCCUCAGCGCUCUGAGCGGGCUGUCUGAGAAGGACGCGGCAGAGGUGCGUGAUGCGUGGAUGUCGAUGCGCGAGGUCGAUGCUGUUGCUCUGGGGCCGAGCAUUGCCGAGCACGCGCCCGCACGAGCAACUGACGGCGCUGCGCUUACAUCCGCGGAGGAGAACAUACAGCUGCGCACAGAAACGGGCGGCGCAAAGGCGGAGGUGUGCAGCGGCGCUCACGUUAUAGAGGUACUCUACCACGGGUCGCUGCAGGCUCUCGGCGAAGGCGGCAGCGGUGGUGGGGCCACUGAGCAGGUGAGCGGGCGUUGGAAAUCGCCUCUGCUGCUUGCGGCGACGCGGUUGAGGACGUGGUUGGCCUGCGAAGAUGUCGCCGUUGCAUCUCCCAUUCGAACAACCGCGAGCAGCCGCGACUCAGCAGCAGGGGCAACGCUGCACGCAUGUACAGCUUCCAGGCUGGUCCUACCGCAGCUCUGCGUCUUGGAGGAAGCCCUGUGCGGCAUGCUGAAGGGUGUGGACGAAGAAGCCGGCGGUGCAGGCAACCGUAGCAGGACAGGCCGCGGAGCUACUAGCAGAGGGGUGCCAGGUCCACUGGCAGUACGCCGCGACAGGCUUGCGUGUCUUCGCGCGUACACCCUCUACGCGGAGCUGAAGCGCACGUGCUCAGCGCCGCUGUGGAGACGACAGCACUGCUGCCUGCAGAACCACGCGCAAAACGGGGAUUGCGACAGCACCCAGCACGACGAUGAUCGAAGUCGCCGCGACUGCGUCGGCGAUGUCGCAUCACUUGUGCUGGAACUCGCGGUGGUGGCAGCGCUCUCCGCAGCAGACGCAUCGCCGCACUCGCGGCACUCGGGUGCCGUCUCGGACGCUCAUCAACUCGCCCUUCUUUCGACGUUUGUGCGCUGUUGCGACGCUCUGGGUACGCCGCUGCCCAGUCUUCCGUGCCCACAGCGACUGCUGCGGUGGGGAAGGGAACGUUCAUCGGCAACACCAGCGGUGGCACGAGUUGCCCCGCCUCGCGCAACUGGUCUUGGACGUGUCGGUGUCGAUGCGCACGCAGCGGUGCGCCAUCUCGCAACGACUCUUCUUUUUCGCCUUGCAGAGGAUGUGCCGCUCUCAGCGCCGUCUGCCCGAGCGAUCCUUCACGAUUGGCGUGCCGUGCUGACGCCGCUGCAAGCGCUGCGGCGCGUGACUUCAGCCUUUCCGACUCCAGGUGCACGCCUGCCCGAGGUGGAUGCGGGUGCCGAUGUUGGGUCUGGACACGGAAGCGUGUGGCUACUCAGCACCUCCUCUGCAGGACUGCAGUGGGCACCCGUGUGCCAAGCCGAUCCUUCAUCUCCCAAGUUGACAGGACGCCUCGACGUGUCAAGCAGCGAUGCUGACACUGGUGGCGGCGAUGCUGCGCAACCUACCGUCCAGCAGCCGCAGCCGCAGAGCCGGCGGCGUCACUGUCACCACGACCAAUCUCUCCAGGGUAUCUACUACACCACCCUCCGUCUCCUGUGGAGCAGGGGGCACCUCGCCAAGCUCCCUUUGCCGGUUCUGCUGAAGGAGCUGCUGCGCCCCUUAGCGGAGCUGGAGCGCGCCGCAGCGGAGACAUCGACCCUUUUCCCCACCGCUACUGAGGCGGCACAGCGCGCCGUGCAGCCGGCUGUACGCGGACGCGAUGACGGUGCCGCUGGAGUAAACCGGAAGACGGCCAAUCGGCUCGCAGCACUCGUCGAUGUGGCUCAGCAGCUCUCGAUGCACCCGGUGCUAAGCGCGUCAGCCGCAGCAGCAGCUGCGCGUGGCGGAGACGGCAGCUCGGGGGCUGGCUGGACCUCGGCGUGCCUCGUGUUCAAACUGCUCGCGCAGAUAGAGGCUGCUCUCUGCACGCGAUGCGGGAAGCCCCAAAGUCACACCAGUGGCGGUGCGCGUGCGGCGUUUGCCAAAGUAGCGUGCAUCUCACCCUCUCGUGUCUUCGCAGCCCGAUACGCCGACCUGCUUGCCCAGCGCGGCACGUGCGCUCCCGACUAUCUUGCCUUUAUGCUUGUCGUGUCGCGCCACUGUCAAGAGCUGCUCCCAACGCACGGGGGCGGUGCUCCGGGCGAGUCAGAGACCCACGAGGAACGUCGGCGGCUACUGCGGCACGCGCAGCUGCGCCACGCCGUUGCGCUGGCAGCUCCGCCGCCCGCUGUUGGGGCGGUCAUGGAGCUAUUUCAGCUCCACACGGCGCACUGCCAUCGUGCCAUGGCUGCUGAGCAGCAUUCAGGCGCACCCCCCGCUACAGGAUCGGCUGCUGCAUUGGAAACUAACACAACGAAUCAACGGCAGCGUGUAGACGGUGAGGAGGGCAUCGGGGGUGAAGCGGACAUCCUUCUAGGAGCGCUAACACCUGACGAGCAGACGCUCUUGCAGCGCCUGCAUCACCUCCUGCAGACGUCGCGCGGCAAGCCGGCACCGCCGCUGAAGGGUCGCGGUACGAAGUGAGGGUUGUAACAUGAGGUCUUGCCGGACAUGACGACGUUUUCUCUUGGAUGUGUUGAAGCCGUGCGAUCCUGUGGGGCAGGAAAGGAUGGACGAUAGGAAACGACGAGGAGGGCAGCGGUGCGUGUCGUGCACGCUCUGCGCGUGUGGCCAUCUCCGAUGGGCUCCGCCACUGCCCAUCUUAUUAGCACGUUCAUCUGUGUGUGCGCCCGUCUCUGCAUUACUCGUUCUCUCUCUCUGCUGGGGGUGUGCUCCUAAGAUACG
rnacentral:misc_RNA from 1 species